CGUCUAUGUUAAGAUUGGGAAUCGUGUAUACGUAAGCGAUUUGGCUAACGCAUGACAAUGAUAACAACAUUUUAAAUGAUAAAAGUAAUUCAUCACUGAAUCUCAACUAACACAUAACAAUUUCAUAUUUCUUAUUGUGAGAAGUUGAGGGACUUGGCCCUGUGAUACUUCAGCAACC
rnacentral:snRNA from 1 species